UACAGAGGUGUCAAGCGUUGUCCGGAAUUACUGGGCGUAAAGGGCGUGUAGGUGGGUGGAUAAGUCGGAUGUGAAAUCACCGGGCUUAACCCGGUAACUGCAUCCGAAACUGUCCGUCUUGAGUGCAGAAGAGGAGAGUGGAAUUCCCAGUGUAGCGGUGAAAUGCGUAGAUAUUGGGAGGAACACCAGUGGCGAAGGCGGCUCUCUGGUCUGCAACUGACACUGAAACGCGAAAGCUAGGGGAGCAAACGGG
rnacentral:rRNA from 1 species